UUAAGCGACUAAGCGUACACGGUGGAUGCCCUGGCAGUCAGAGGCGAUGAAGGACGUGCUAAUCUGCGAAAAGCGUCGGUAAGGUGAUAUGAACCGUUACAGCCGGCGAUGUCCGAAUGGGGAAACCCAGUGCAAUUCGUUGCACUAUCGUUAACUGAAUACAUAGGUUAACGAGGCGAACCGGGGGAACUGAAACAUCUAAGUACCCCGAGGAAAAGAAAUCAACCGAGAUUCCCCCAGUAGCGGCGAGCGAACGGGGAGCAGCCCAGAGUCUGAAUCAGCUUGUGUGUUAGUGGAACGGUCUGGAAAGUCCGACGGUACAGGGUGAUAGUCCCGUACACCAAAAUGCACAGGUUGUGAACUCGAAGAGUAGGGCGGGACACGUGGUAUCCUGUCUGAAUAUGGGGGGACCAUCCUCCAAGGCUAAAUACUCCUGACUGACCGAUAGUGAACCAGUACCGUGAGGAAAGGCGAAAAGAACCCCGGCGAGGGGAGUGAAAAGAACCUGAAACCGUGUACGUACAAGCAGUGGGAGCACCUUCGGUGUGACUGCGUACCUUUGUAUAAUGGGUCAGCGACUUAUAUUCUGUAGCAAGGUUAACCGUAUAGGGGAGCCGCAGGGAAACCGAGUCUUAACUGGGCGUUAAGUUGCAGGGUAUAGACCCGAAACCCGGUGAUUCAGCCAUGGGCAGGUUGAAGGUUGGGUAACACUAACUGGAGGACCGAACCGACUAAUGUUGAAAAAUUAGCGGAUGACUUGUGGCUGGGGUGAAAGGCCAAUCAAACCGGGAGAUAGCUGGUUCUCCCCGAAAGCUAUUUAGGUAGCGCCUCGUGAACUCAUCUUCGGGGGUAGAGCACUGUUUCGGCUAGGGGGUCAUCCCGACUUACCAACCCGAUGCAAACUACGAAUACCGAAGAAUGUUAUCACGGGAGACACACGGCGGGUGCUAACGUCCGUCGUGAAGAGGGAAACAACCCAGACCGCCAGCUAAGGUCCCAAAGUCAUGGUUAAGUGGGAAACGAUGUGGGAAGGCACAGACAGCCAGGAUGUUGGCUUAGAAGCAGCCAUCAUUUAAAGAAAGCGUAAUAGCUCACUGGUCGAGUCGGCCUGCGCGGAAGAUGUAACGGGGCUAAACCAUGCACCGAAGCUGCGGCAGCGACACUAUGUGUUGUUGGGUAGGGGAGCGUUCUGUAAGCCUGCGAAGGUGUGCUGUGAGGCAUGCUGGAGGUAUCAGAAGUGCGAAUGCUGACAUAAGUAACGAUAAAGCGGGUGAAAAGCCCGCUCGCCGGAAGACCAAGGGUUCCUGUCCAACGUUAAUCGGGGCAGGGUGAGUCGACCCCUAAGGCGAGGCCGAAAGGCGUAGUCGAUGGGAAACAGGUUAAUAUUCCUGUACUUGGUGUUACUGCGAAGGGGGGGGACGGAGAAGGCUAUGUUAGCCGGGCGACGGUUGUCCCGGUUUAAGCAUGUAGGCUGAUUGUCCAGGCAAAUCCGGAUAAUCAAGGCUGAGGUGUGAUGACGAGGCACUACGGUGCUGAAGUAACAAAUGCCCUGCUUCCAGGAAAAGCCUCUAAGCAUCAGGUAACAUUAAAUCGUACCCCAAACCGACACAGGUGGUCAGGUAGAGAAUACCAAGGCGCUUGAGAGAACUCGGGUGAAGGAACUAGGCAAAAUGGUGCCGUAACUUCGGGAGAAGGCACGCUGGUGUGUAGGUGAAGUCCCUGCGGAUGGAGCUGAGACCAGUCGAAGAUACCAGCUGGCUGCAACUGUUUAUUAAAAACACAGCACUGUGCAAACACGAAAGUGGACGUAUACGGUGUGACGCCUGCCCGGUGCCGGAAGGUUAAUUGAUGGGGUUAUCCGUAAGGAGAAGCUCUUGAUCGAAGCCCCGGUAAACGGCGGCCGUAACUAUAACGGUCCUAAGGUAGCGAAAUUCCUUGUCGGGUAAGUUCCGACCUGCACGAAUGGCGUAAUGAUGGCCAGGCUGUCUCCACCCGAGACUCAGUGAAAUUGAACUCGCUGUGAAGAUGCAGUGUACCCGCGGCAAGACGGAAAGACCCCGUGAACCUUUACUAUAGCUUGACACUGAACAUUGAGCCUUGAUGUGUAGGAUAGGUGGGAGGCUUUGAAGCGUGGACGCCAGUCUGCGUGGAGCCAACCUUGAAAUACCACCCUUUAAUGUUUGAUGUUCUAACGUUGGCCCCUGACCGGGGUUGCGGACAGUGUCUGGUGGGUAGUUUGACUGGCGGUCUCCUCCCAAAGCGUAACGGAGGAGCACGAAGGUUAGCUAAUCCUGGUCGGACAUCAGGAGGUUAGUGCAAUGGCAUAAGCUAGCUUGACUGCGAGCGUGACGGCGCGAGCAGGUGCGAAAGCAGGUCAUAGUGAUCCGGUGGUUCUGAAUGGAAGGGCCAUCGCUCAACGGAUAAAAGGUACCCGGGGAUAACAGGCUGAUACCGCCCAAGAGUUCAUAUCGACGGCGGUGUUUGGCACCUCGAUGUCGGCUCAUCACAUCCUGGGGCUGAAGUAGGUCCCAAGGGUAUGGCUGUUCGCCAUUUAAAGUGGUACGCGAGCUGGGUUUAGAACGUCGUGAGACAGUUCGGUCCCUAUCUGCCGUGGGCGCUGGAGAAUUGAGGGGGGCUGCUCCUAGUACGAGAGGACCGGAGUGGACGCAUCACUGGUGUUCGGGUUGUCAUGCCAAUGGCACUGCCCGGUAGCUAAAUGCGGAAGAGAUAAGUGCUGAAAGCAUCUAAGCACGAAACUUGCCCCGAGAUGAGUUCUCCCUGAGACUAUAAGUCUCCUGAAGGAACGUUAAAGACGAUGACGUUGAUAGGCCGGGUGUGUAAGCGCAGCGAUGCGUUGAGCUAACCGGUACUAAUGAACCGUGAGGCUUAACCU
rnacentral:rRNA from 1 species